rnacentral:rRNA from 1 species
UACGUAGGGACCGAGCGUUGUCCGGAUUCAUUGGGCGUAAAGAGCUCGUAGGCGGCUGUUCAAGUCGAACGUGAAAACUCGGAGCUCAACUCCGAGCCUGCGUUCGAUACUGGAUGGCUAGAGUCUGGUAGGGGGAUCUGGAAUUCCUGGUGUAGCGGUGGAAUGCGCAGAUAUCAGGAGGAACACCGGUGGCGAAGGCGGAUCUCUGGGCCUUACCUGACGCUCGAGGCGCGAAAGCUAGGGGAGCGAACAGG